UGGAAGAGGUGCAGCCCGAAACUGCCUUGUGUACAAUGAGCACUUCUAGAUGGGGAAGGACAAGGUCAAGGGCUAACAACCUCCUUUGCCAAUAAAAUUUACUGGAUUAACAACAGGAUCAAAUGAAAAGAAUGGAGCAUAUGAAGAUAAUGGAUAUCUGCCAAAAGACUCAGGUAUAAUGAAAUAUGAGAAUGCUAUCUGAGAGAUGGAAACCAAGAGAGAGGAAGAUAUAGC